UGGGGAAUAUUGCACAAUGGUGGAAACCCUGAUGCAGCGACGCCGCGUGAACGAAGAAGGUAUUCGUAUCGUAAAGUUCUGUCCUAUGGGAAGAUAAUGACAGUACCAUAGAAGAAAGCUCCGGCUAAAUACGUGCCAGCAGCCGCGGUAAUACGUAUGGAGCGAGCGUUGUCCGGAAUUAUUGGGCGUAAAGGGUACGCAGGCGGUUUAAUAAGUCGAAUGUUAAAGAUCGGGGCUCAACCCCGCAAAGCAUUGGAAACUGAUAAACUUGAGUAGUGGAGAGGAAAGUGGAAUUCCUAGUGUAGUGGUGAAAUACGUAGAUAUUAGGAGGAAUACCAGUAGCGAAGGCGACUUUCUGGACACAAACUGACGCUGAGGUACGAAAGCGUGGGGAGCAAACAGG
rnacentral:rRNA from 1 species